UACGGAGGGUGCGAGCGUUGUCCGGAAUCACUGGGCGUAAAGGGCGCGUAGGCGGCAUGCCAAGCGUGUGGUGAAAGCCCGGGGCUCAACCCCGGGUCGGCCGUGCGGACUGGCGUGCUUGAGCACGGUAGAGGCCAAUGGAAUUCCGGGUGUAGCGGUGGAAUGCGUAGAGAUCCGGAAGAACACCGGUGGCGAAGGCGGUUGGCUGGGCCGUAGCUGACACUGAGGCGCGACAGCGUGGGGAGCAAACAGG
rnacentral:rRNA from 1 species